rnacentral:rRNA from 1 species
CAUGCUGGUUAGCCUGACUUUUUGGAAGGGCUGUAUUUAUUAGAUAACAAAUCAAUAUUCCCCGUGUCUAUUGUGACGACUCAUAAUAACUGAUCGAAUCGCAUGGGCUUUGCCCGCGAUACAUCAUUCAAGUUUCUGCCCCAUCAGCUUUCGAUGGUAGUGUAUUGGACUACCAUGGCUUUCACGGGUAACGGAGGAUUAGGGUUCGAUUCCGGAGAGGGAGCCUGAGAAACGGCUACCACAUCUAAGGAAGGCAGCAGGCGCGUAAAUUACCCAAUCCUGACUCAGGGAGGUAGUGACAAGAAAUAACGGACCGAAGCCUAUGUUUCGGGAUUGCAAUGAGUAGAAUUUAAACCCCUUUACGAGGAUCAAUUGGAGGGCAAGUCUGGUGCCAGCAGCCGCGGUAAUUCCAGCUCCAAUAGCGUAUAUUAAAUUUGUUGCAGUUAAAAAGCUCGUAGUUGGAUUUCUGAGAGGGCGCCAAUGUCCGCUGAUUGCGUGUGCAGCGGUGCCCUCUCAUCCUUCUGUUAACGUUUCUGAUAUUCAUUUAUUGGUCUCGGGCUCAGAUAUUUUACCUUGAGAAAAUUAGAGUGUUCCAGGCAGGCUAGCGCCGGAAUACAUUAGCAUGGAAUAAUAGAAUAGGACUUUAGUCUCCUUUGUUGGUUUGAGGGACUGAAGUAAUGAUUAAUAGGGACAGUUGGGGGCAUUAGUAUUUAAUUGUCAGAGGUGAAAUUCUCGGAUUUGUUAAAGACUAACUUAUGCGAAAGCAUUUGCCAAGGAUGUUUUCAUUAAUCAAGAACGAAAGUUAGGGGAUCAAAGACGAUCAGAUACCGUCCUAGUCUUAACCAUAAACUAUGCCGACUAGGGAUCGGAGGCGCGCCUUAUCCGCCUUCGGCACCUUAUGAGAAAUCAAAGUCUUUGGGUUCUGGGGGGAGUAUGGUCGCAAGGCUGAAACUUAAAGGAAUUGACGGAAGGGCACCACCAGGAGUGGAGCUUGCGGCUCAAUUUGACUCAACACGGGAAAACUUACCAGGUCCAGACAUAGUGAGGAU